CAGCCGCCGCGGUAAUACGAAGGGGGCUAGCGUUGCUCGGAAUGACUGGGCGUAAAGGGCGCGUAGGCGGAUUGUUUAGUUAGGCGUGAAAUUCCUGGGCUUAACCUGGGGACUGCGCUUAAUACAGGCAGUCUAGAGUGAGGAAGAGGGUUGUGGAAUUCCCAGUGUAGAGGUGAAAUUCGUAGAUAUUGGGAAGAACACCGGUGGCGAAGGCGGCAACCUGGUCCUUGACUGACGCUGAGGCGCGAAAGCGUGGGGAGCAAACAGGAUUAGAUACCCCAGUAGUCCCUGUCUCUUAUAC
rnacentral:rRNA from 1 species